rnacentral:rRNA from 1 species
AGUGAACGCUGGCGGUAGGCCUAACACAUGCAAGUCGAACGGCAGCACAGUCAGAGCUUGCUCUUACGGGUGGCGAGUGGCGGACGGGUGAGGAAUACAUCGGAAUCUACUUUUUCGUGGGGGAUAACGUAGGGAAACUUACGCUAAUACCGCAUACGACCUACUGGUGAAUGCAGGGGAUCUUCGGACCUUGCGCGAUUGAAUGAGCCGAUGUCGGAUUAGCUAGUUGGCGGGGUAAAGGCCCACCAAGGCGACGAUCCGUAGCUGGUCUGUGAGGAUGAUCAGCCACACUGGAACUGAGACACGGUCCAGACUCCUACGGGAGGCAGCAGUGGGGAAUAUUGGACAAUGGGCGCAAGCCUAAUCCAGCCAUACCGCGUGGGUGAAGAAGUCUUUCGGGUUGUAAAGCCCUUUUGUUGGGAAAGAAAAGCAGCAGGUUAAUACCCCGCUGUUCUGACGGUACCCAAAGAAUAAGCACCGGCUAACUUCGUG